AGAGUUUGAUCAUGGCUCAGAUUGAACGCUGGCGGCGUGCUUAACACAUGCAAGUCGAGCGGUAACAGGUGUAGCAAUACAUGCUGACGAGCGGCGAACGGGUGAGUAAUGCUUCGGAAUCUUCCUCGUAGUGGGGAAUAACCUGGGGAAACUCAGGCUAAUACCGCAUACGAACUACGGUUGAAAGCAGGGGAUCGCAAGACCUUGCGCUAUGAGAUGAGCCGAAGUCGGAUUAGCUAGUUGGUGGGGUAACGGCCCACCAAGGCGACGAUCCGUAGCUGGUCUGAGAGGACGACCAGCCACACUGGGACUGAGACACGGCCCAGACUCCUACGGGAGGCAGCAGUGGGGAAUAUUGGACAAUGGGCGAAAGCCUGAUCCAGCGACGCCGCGUGUGUGAAGAAGGCCUGCGGGUUGUAAAGCACUUUUAGUGGGGAUGAAAAGCCGAAGGUUAAUACCUUUCGGUCUUGACCUAACCCAAAGAAAAAGCACCGGCUAACUCUGUGCCAGCAGCCGCGGUAAUACAGAGGGUGCAAGCGUUAAUCGGAAUUACUGGGCGUAAAGCGUGCGUAGUCGGUUAUUCAAGUCGGGUGUGAAAGCCCCGGGCUCAACCUGGGAAUUGCAUUCGAUACUGUUUAGCUAGAGUUCGGCAGAGGGAAGUGGAAUUUCGGGUGUAGCGGUGAAAUGCGUAGAUAUCCGAAGGAACAUCAGUGGCGAAAGCGACUUCCUGGACCAGAACUGACGAUCAGGCACGAAAGCGUGGGGAGCAAACAGGAUUAGAUACCCUAGUAGUCC
rnacentral:rRNA from 1 species